GUACACGCUGUGACUAGCAUAUCAAUAAGCGGAGGAAAAGAAACUAACAAGGAUUCCCUUAGUAACGGCGAUGUGAAGCGGGAAGAACUCAAAUUUGAAAUCUUCAAGGUUUUACCUUGACGAAUUGUAGUUUAAAGAAGUGUUUUCUGCUGAAGUUUUGGUAAAAGUUCUUUGGAAUAGGACAUCAUAGAGGGUGAGAAUCCCGUAUUUGACCAUUAUUUUCAGCUUUGUGAUACACUUUCAAAGAGUCGGAUUGUUUGGGAAUGCAGUCCAAAAUGGGUGGUAAAUUUCAUCUAAAGCUAAAUAUUGGCGAGAGACCGAUAGCGAACAAGUACCGUGAGGGAAAGAUGAAAAGAACUUUGAAAAGAGAGUUAAACAGUACGUGAAAUUGUCAAAAGGGAAGCGUUUGACACCAGUGUUGUUUAAUUGAAAAUCAAUUAACUAAUUUUUGAUUUUAAGUAGUAUUUGACUUUAUCAGCUUGCUAUUUAUUUUUCGAAAAUUAUUUAAUGCACUUUUCAGUUAACAAGUCAACAUCAAUUUCUUUUGCUGUAAAAAAGCUUGAGGAAGGUGGCUUGAGAUUCGUCUUAAGUGUUUAUAGCCUCUUGCCUAUGCAGUCGGAGAGAUUGAGGUCUGCAGCGUAGAUCCUUCGGGGCUAAAUGCAUUUGUGCUAAGUUAUAGCAUUUUAUAGACAACUUGUUGACUAUGAUUUGUCUUGUAGCUUACUCGCUUAUGUUAUUUUACCUACGCUUAGGAUGUUGAGCGCAUGUCUCUCUCU
rnacentral:rRNA from 1 species